UUGGAGGGCAAGUCUGGUGCCAGCAGCCGCGGUAAUUCCAGCUCCAAUAGCGUAUAUUAAAGUUGUUGCAGUUAAAAAGCUCGUAGUUGAAUUUCGGGGUCAGCAGGUUAGUCGUGCCACUGGUAUGCACUGGCUUCGCUGAUUCCUCCUUUCUGAAGAACUGUAAUGCCAUUAAUUUGGUGUUGCAGGGAAACAGGACUGUUACUUUGAAAAAAUUAGAGUGUUUAAAGCAGGCUUUGGCUUGAAUACAUUAGCAUGGAAUAAUGAAAUAGGACGUUCGAUCCUAUUUUGUUGGUUUCUAGGAUUGACGUAAUGAUUAAUAGGGAUAGUUGGGGGCAUUAGUAUUCAAUUGUCAGAGGUGAAAUUCUUGGAUUUAUUGAAGACUAACUACUGCGAAAGCAUUUGCCAAGGAUGUUUUCAUUAAUCAAGAACGAAAGUUAGGGGAUCGAAGACGAUCAGAUACCGUCGUAGUCUUAACCAUAAACUAUGCCGACUAGGGAUCGGAUGAUGUUAAUUUUUUAAUGACUCAUUCGGCGCCUUACGGGAAAC
rnacentral:rRNA from 1 species